AAAUUGACAAAUUUGUCGACGACUUUCAAUGACUUAGAAUUAGAGGGAACAGUUAAUCCCUUAUUGUAAAUAAGAGAGUUAACGACCCUCGGCAUUGUUAACAGGAAUUGUUUUCUUUCCGUCCUUGUCUAUCUUUUUCUUCAACGAUAAUAAAAGUACGAAAUCAAAAUUGAGCCCCUUCCCCUUUGUUUCUUUUCUUGCUUUCUUGAGUAAAAUUGUCAUAGCGUCACAGUUUAUUGACCUCCUUUGGUGGGGCAACUAGUCGUGAAAAGGUUAUUUCUCCAAAUAAGUGAAUUUUAUUUAAUAUUUCCAACUCGAAAUUUAACUGUAAAUUAAAUAAAAAUAUAUUAAACAAAAUAAAUUAAACUAAAAAUAAAUUAAAAUAAAUGAAAUUAAAAUGUUUAAUACUUGAAAUUUUUCAAUCAAGAAGAGUGUGCAAGAAUUUUUUUGAAGAAAACAAUUGUUUCGAUUUUUGGAUCUUCCUUGAUUAGAUGUAUCAUGACAAAAUGUCACCUAACAUUACACGUGAUGGAUUUCUUCACAGUUUCCAGGAAGAGGUCAAAAGAAAAACAUCAAGAAGACGCCGCAGAAUGAUUGUAAAUUACCCCGGAGAUUUUUCGAAACUUCAUUAAGACUUAGCUUUUAUUAUAUUAGGAUAUUCUUCGCCGACUGCUACGAAUAUUUCUUAAGUUUGAAAAAACUUGUGAAAUAAUAAUGUAAAUUAUUUAGCUAGGCAUUUCAAAAAAAAAAAAAAUGCAAUUAUAUUAGCUAGGAAAUUUGAAAAUUAUUUCGUAGAUUUAAGAAAGUGUAAAUAAUUUAAAUUCUCGAAGAAGCUUCAACAUCAUACGUCGAAGAAGAGGGGAAUGAAAGUAAUAAAAGAAGACUCAGAACCAGGUGAAGGAUUUCAGGAACGAAAGUAAUGAAAGAAGACUCGGAACUAGGUGAAGAAAAAGGGUUUCAGAAAUAAAAGCAGACUAUAAAAGGCAGACUCAGAACCGAGGUGAAAAAAAAGGAUGAUAGAGGAUUUUUAUCUACAAGUUAC